rnacentral:rRNA from 1 species
UACGGAGGGUGCGAACGUUAAUCGGAAUUACUGGGCGUAAAGCGUGCGUAGACGGUUAUUUAAGUCAGGUGUGAAAGCCCCGGGCUCAAUCUGGGAAUUGCAUUUGAGACUGAAUAGCUAGGGUGCGGAAGAGGGAAGCGGAAUUUCCGGUGUAGCGGUGAAAUGCGUAGAUAUCGGAAGGAACACCAGUGGCGAAAGCGGCUUCCUGGUCCAGCACCGACGUUCAGGCACGAAAGCGUGGGGAGCAAACAGG